UACGUAGGGGGCAAGCGUUGUCCGGAAUUAUUGGGCGUAAAGAGCGCGUAGGCGGUCCGAUAAGUCGGCUGUGAAAGUCAGGGGCUCAACCCUUGAAAGCCGGCCGAUACUGUCGGACUAGAGUCCGGAAGAGGCAAGUGGAAUUCCCGGUGUAGCGGUGAAAUGCGCAGAUAUCGGGAGGAACACCAAUGGCGAAGGCGGCUAUCUGGACGGUUUCUGACGCUAAGACGCGAAAGCGUGGGGAGCAAACAGG
rnacentral:rRNA from 1 species